UACAUUACCACUGAGAUCGUUGAAAUCGGCAUUUGAACAGAUAUUGAGCACGAAAAAAAGUUAUUCUAAAUAUCAACGGAAGAGUUAUUAAUUCUAUUCUAUAAAUACCCUGCAUGAUAGAAGAGCAAACCACCAGACAAUUUGCAAGAAUUUCAUCAGUAAACAUUGCUUUCAAUCAGAGAUAUAUUACUCCUUCGAUAAGGAAAUGGAAGCUAGUAUUCCUGCGCUACACUGUCCAAUGCAUUUUUGUUUGCUAGACUGAACUAUGGAGAAUCAUAGCUUGAAUGUGUGGAGCUGUUAUGGCAUGACAAGUCGAAACAUAUGUAAAUAGCCUUUGGCGACAACUACUAUUUUUGUCUGGCUUAGAGAAGAUUGGAUCAAUCGAUAUGUCAAUAGAAUUAUGGGUUGUCUGGUUAACACUGGA